rnacentral:tRNA from 1 species
GGGCGCAUAGCUCAGUUGGUUAGAGCACUUGCCUUACAAGCAAGGAGUCGGCAGUUCGAGUCUGCCUGCGCCCACCA